UACGAAGGGGGCUAGCGUUGCUCGGAAUGACUGGGCGUAAAGGGCGCGUAGGCGGUUUGUUCAGUCAGAUGUGAAAUUCCUGGGCUCAACCUGGGGGCUGCAUUUGAUACGUAUGGACUGGAGUGAGGAAGAGGGUCGUGGAAUUCCCAGUGUAGAGGUGAAAUUCGUAGAUAUUGGGAAGAACACCGGUGGCGAAGGCGGCGACCUGGUCCUUUACUGACGCUGAGGCGCGAAAGCGUGGGGAGCAAACAGG
rnacentral:rRNA from 1 species